GUGGGGAAUCUUGCGCAAUGGGCGAAAGCCUGACGCAGCCAUGCCGCGUGGAUGAUGAAGGUCUUAGGAUUGUAAAAUCCUUCCACCGGUGAAGAUAAUGACUGUAGCCGGAGAAGAAGCCCCGGCUAACUUCGUGCCAGCAGCCGCGGUAAUACGAAGGGGGCUAGCGUUGCUCGGAUUUACUGGGCGUAAAGGGCGCGUAGGCGGACAUUUAAGUCAGGGGUGAAAUCCCGGGGCUCAACCUCGGAACUGCCUUUGAUACUGGGUGUCUUGAGUAUGAGGGAGGUGUGUGGAACUCCGAGUGUAGAGGUGAAAUUCGUAGAUAUUCGGAAGAACACCAGUGGCGAAGGCGACACACUGGCUCAUUACUGACGCUGAGGCGCGAAAGCGUGGGGAGCAAACAGGAUUAGAUACCCGGGUAGUCC
rnacentral:rRNA from 1 species